UACGUAGGUGGCAAGCGUUGUCCGGAUUUACUGGGCGUAAAGAGCGCGCAGGCGGUCGUUCAAGUCGCGUGUGAAAGCCCCCGGCUCAACUGGGGAGGGUCACGCGAUACUGGUCGACUCGAAGGCAGGAGAGGGUAGUGGAAUUCCCGGUGUAGUGGUGAAAUGCGUAGAUAUCGGGAGGAACACCAGUGGCGAAGGCGGCAUCCUGGACCGGCAUUGACGCUGAGGAGCGAAAGCCAGGGGAGCAAACGGG
rnacentral:rRNA from 1 species